CUCUCUGCGAUAGGGUUUCCCCCCACGGCGAGAGGAGUUCCACUCUCUCUCUCUCGCUCGCUCGCUUUCGAGCUCUCUGUUUCUGGUGCAGCGGUCGAUGGCUCACUUCCUUCUCCGAUUCGCUUGGUGCAGGUCGGGAAUCCGCCCUCUCCCUACGCACGGACUGCGUCUCGGAUUUCUUUUCCGGGAAGAAGUGGUCGGAUUCCCGCCUUGCAUCAACUGAAUCGGAGAUGACGGUGACGGAAGGGAUUGGGUGGCUGCCGCCGGGAUUAGGGUGUUCUGGGAUGGAGGAAGUGAGUCUGAUUUGCUGAAAGCUGGUGACUUUAGGUACAAUGAUGGUUUUUUUUUUUUUUUUUUGCCUCUGAAUCUUCACAUGAUUUCAUUUCGUGGUACCUACUGUCUACAGUUUUGGUUUUUGUUACCUGAUGCCUGGAUUAGAUUAGCUGUUACCGGAAUUUAUCUCUUUUUCUAAAAGUGGCCAGUAGACUGUUGGUAACACUCGUCCUGCUGUGUUUAACACAAUGCUUCUGUGUUUAUCUGGAUAAUCUGAUACUUACCAGAUAUGGCUCGAUUAUUAGGAGGGAGGUUUUUGAUCAGUUUGUGAGAAUUCGAAUGCCUCACGACCUACUCUCUCUCGUUCUAUUUUUAUAGGAUGAUUUAUAAAAUCUGCUUUUAAGUAAUUGAAUUGCAUGCACCACAUGUUUUGAUUGUUCCGAAGAAAAUCAGGAAGUUGUAAAAAAAUGUAUUUUUACUUGGAGAAUACACUAUAGUGACCGUCCUCUUUCAGCUAGACCUUUGUUAAUUCGUAUGAGGGUGUUGACUGAUUUCUCUGUUGUUUGGACCCAUUGAUUGAGUCCUGUUAUUUAUGAAGUUCUAAGGGCUUUGACGCAACGAUUUCUACAUUUUUUAUGGAGGUAAAGUUUUCUUUGUGUGCUGAGAAAAUUGUGAAAAAAUAGACGCUGAUGGGCUGCAAUAGAGUUAUGCCGUUGUGCUACUCGUUUUCGCCGUCCAAGAAGCCCUAGCCUUUUCCAUGUGGACCACUGGGAGACGCCAGGUUUCUUAUACAGGUACUGCUUAUAGACAUUCAUACAUAUUCAUUGAAGCAUAUGCGUACACUGGACAGGUAGAAGGCUGCCCGCUGCUUCUCCAUUCGUCUACCUAAUAUACUUUCAUUACUUACAGGCAGUAACAGCACAUUGGUUCUGCCUUUGGGUGAAAAAAACCUUGACUAUUACUCCUUUGAGUUGUGUCUUGGAUAUUGUCCAGAGGGGAGUAUCGAUUCUGUCUAGUCUGCGCAGCGCUAUAUCUGUUUGCAGCGUGGCUACGAUGUCUUAAAAAUUAACCAUGCAUGGUGUCUUUUAUGUCUGCUUUGUCUACCUCCUAAUUCCCAUGCUUGCAGACGUUGCAUUUUGGAGGGACAGAUAUUUGCGGGCACUGGUAUUACUGUAAACCUUACUGAAAUUCCAGAAGAGAGUCAUUUAUUUCUUAAUGCUAUCUAAAAGUUUAUCUCACGUUUACUUGUCUACUUAUCAAGACAAGUCUGCCUAAUGCAGAAUUGCAUAAUUUCGAUUUCCCGCUCACAAGGAAAUCCAGGUGAACAAAACCAUAAAUCUUGUACUGUAUAUGCAUAGCACCUCUUAAAAAUAUAUGAAAAAAGAUGUAUGUGAUAUCUUUCAAAUCUUCAUUUGAGGAUAGACACGCUUCAAGCGGCAAAAAUGAAAUAUUUCCUGUUAUAUAUGCCACGCGGGUAAAGUGCAGAAAAGUACUCUUGUAUUUCUGCUCCGAACUUUCACUUUAGCAAGAAAGAGGGGUUUAAGUCUUCUUUGUCUGAUGCUAGAUUUUUUUAAAAUGAAAUAAAAUGUUCCUUUUACGUCUCUGCAGGGGAUUACAUUAUCGAUGCGGCUCUUCCCGCAAGCUUCCCAUUGAUCAUAUCCUUUUAAAGGGCUUAUCUUCUUGUUCGUAGUGUCUGCCGUCGUUAAAGUGCGAAAGUAUAAUUUUUUCGCCAAUCAUAAUACUACACACGUUCUUCUGCUUAUUGAGACUGGCAUGUCUGUUGCGCCUUGUUUUCUUAAUUUGCCUUUUAGUAGUUUUGAAUUUCGUUUAGUUAAUGCUCUUAAAUUGCACAGAGAGAGAGAGAGAGAGAGAGAGACAUUCAUCUCAUUUUCUGUAUUGCCCUACAUGUGCACGCACCAAAAUUUUAAGUAGUUAUAUUGUCGUGAGUGCAUGAACAGCAGAAGCGGUCUGGAAUUUGACUGAUAGCUAAUUAGUGUUCAACGGUAACCUCUUACUGCUUUGGUGGGACUACUCUAUGGGCUUAUGCACACUUGUGGACAUACGCAUUCAGGUAUUCUUAUCCUAUGUGCGUUCCUAUUUAGAAAACAAAACCUUCUGUCCAAAGAUGCGGUUUACAGAGUUGGGAAGUUUACUGCCACUGAAAAUUUAGGAAUACAAGAAUCCAGUUUCAGUAGCCAAAAGGAUUAUAUGUGUAUAAGCAUUCUGGGAAUCACUUGAAUUUAUUAUAAAUUCUCUCGUGAUUGAUCAUGAGGCGGAUAAGGUAAAGAUGGAUUCCACGAAGCACGCCAGAUCGAUAGUUCUUGUCAUCUGCAUCUUGUUCGGCUCGUCUUCCAUUUCUACCUGUAAUUAUCGUGUCCUGCUCCCUAGUUUAACGAGCGACUGAAUCAUGUUCUCCACCCAAGGAAGGAAACUCAAGUUUUGUGGUACAAACUUUGGAAAGAUGAAUGGGGAAACAGAAAAAGGAAACCUGUGGAUUAUGGUUGGUUGCUGGCUCCACCAUUCGUGCCUAUCUGUUACUGCUGAGGCUUCUGCUCGUCGCAGCUUUAUUCUCUGGAGAGAGGGCCAUCCACUGCUGCUUGUCUGACAGUCGUGCCUUCACAUUCCCUCUGGGCAAUUUCGUCGCUCCCUCGUCCCUUUGCUUUCAUCUUUGGCGCUUAGUUGGUGGGUGGUUGCGUGACCUGAGGGGUUCCAUUGAUGGUCCAUUGCCCGAGGCCAAGAGGAUAGAUUAUAUGAAAUGUGGAUAAUAGAGUCCGGACGACUUUUGGUUCGUGUUUGAUGAGUGUGGGGGUAAAAGGCGCGCGUUGGUUUCUCAAGUCCUCCUUUAGUGUCAGCGUUAAGACACAAUAACAUAACGUCUACUGAAAUCAAACUAAAGACUUGUCUUUAUACAUUUUUUUAACUCGACUAUAGAUAAUACAUGUUUUCA